UAAAUAAUCAUAAUGCAGUUAGAUUUAAGUGUCUUGUUCUUAAGAACAUAUAUUAGUCUCUUGUCACGAUUGUGCUCCCAAACGACAAAAAUUUCUGUAGAAGUAUAAGCGGUGGCAAUUCCCAAACUUGUAUUAAGUGUACAUUGAGCUCCCUGAUGAUCUCUUCAAGCAAGGCCCUUAAUGGAAAACAUGCAUUUAAUAUUUACUUUCCAGGGAGUUGUAAAGAAAACUACAAUCCCCUCUAAUCUUUGCAUAACUAUCAGGCUUCUGGAAUUAUUAGACUUGUUCAUUUUAAAAGUUUCACAGGAUGUAGCACUAAGUUCUGCUCAAGGGCUAAGCAUUAUUUAACAGGCAGUGACUCUCAGUCCAGGAGUAUAAGAAACACAGCUAUUUUAAAGUUGCCUUUCAUGUCCAAAGAGUACAAGAAAACAGCAAGAAGAAAAAUAUCAUUAAUAUUCAACUACUUUUCUGCCACAUUUAUUUUAUCUGUAGGUGAGAAUGCUGAGUGUUACAUGAACAUUUAUCAGAGAGCUUAUUUUCCUGACUGCAUCAUGUGAUGUGACAGGACUCAGGGUACAACCCGCUGCCAUUGAGAAGCGAGAAGCACAGAGCAAUGACCAGCUGAGGACACAGACCACUUGUUUCCUGGAGCAUGCAUGCUUCGUGCCUGCUGGCCAUGUGAGAGGACAGCUGGGACAGGGUGGAGACAUUUGAUGCAACAAAUGUGUGAGGCAAAGUCACCAUAAGAGGAAAACACAUAAAGUUCCAAUCUAGGUUUGAAGUCACUCCCACAGAAGGAUCCCAGUAGAAACUGGUCAAGAGAAUCCAUAGGAAUCAACUUCCCAGGAAACUAAAAAGUAGCAAUCCCUGAGCCUGCUGCAAAAAGUAGAGAAACGGGGGAAGCAAGAGAAAGGAGAUUUUGAGAGAAAUACGCAAACGGCAGAGUACAACCUCAAGCCAGGAGGCUUAGCCAGGGCUGGCUGCAAAGGGGGGCAAAGAAAGUGUAUAAAGGUAGAAUCAGAGGGAAAUCUUUCCCAUGUGUUACUGAAGACCUAUCUAGACACAAAAUUAUUGUCUUCAGUCCUCUCCCUUCCAGCAGGAGGAUAAGAAAGGAGUGUAAGUUAGAAAGAGAAGGGGAGAGGACAAGAGAGACACAAGUAUGUAUUGGAUACCUACCGUAGACCAAGAAACUUGCUAGAUACAGAAAAUAUGCCUCAUUGCAUCUUCACAUUCUAAAGCAUUAGGUGUUAUUCUCAUUUCACAGAUAAGGAAACUGAGGACCAAUGUGUCUGAAUACUUUGCCCAUUGCCUCAGGGCUCAUCCCUGAUGGAACUACGAUGAAAUCUAGAAAUCUCUGAUCCAAGGCAGCUGUUUCCAAGAAGAAAAGUGGAAAGGAAGAAGGUCAAAGUCUUCAUUUAAGGUUGUUUCUUGGAAACAGAAAAUUUACAUACUUUUGUAUGUAAACAUUUCUUGAGAGUAAAAAACAGAAUAGAUGAAAAAAUGCGAUGUGGAUACUGCUUUUGAUUAGCGUCUCGAAUCUCUGUAUAAGCAGCCAACAGAAAAGAAAAAUGAGGAAAACUAGAUAGAUUAGUUUACUGGGGGGUAGGAAUCUGAAAAACCAUAUGGGGCUUCACAGAAUUUCAAGACUAAACAGUUUUAAAGUAGCAUAACCAGGUAAGUGAUGCGUUUUUUAUUUUCACAUUUCACUUUUAUCCAUCUUAAAAUCAAGGCUACAGAGUCCUGAUCCCAGCUGAAAACAGGGUCUGAGCUUUCAGCCGGAAUGACCGUGAUGU